rnacentral:lncRNA from 1 species
UAUAUUAAUUUUUUAUUGAUUACGAUUAACAAUCAAAUUUGAAACUAAUAGCACCAAGAGUUUUGUACUAUCGAGUUUUUUACCGUUAGAUUUAACCCUUUGAUUUUUUUAGCCGUUAAAUUAUACUAUUCAACUAACAACCCACUCAACCCUAAGGAGCCCACAUCAUCCUAACCGCAUAUUUCUCAAUCCAAGAGCUAAAAAACUAAUAGCACCAUGAGCAAGAUGCUAUUGAUAGUAUUCUAGCCUAGUUCUCUCUCUCUCUCUCUCUCUCUCUCUCUCUCUCUCUCUCUCUCUCUCUCUCUCUAUAUAUAUAUAUAUAUAUAUAUAUUUAUAUAUAUAGUCCGACUACUAUACUCUUAUGAGUUCAAUCGCCCUCGUACUCAUAAAUCGUUUUCGAUAAUAGAGUUUCUGAAUCGACGAUCCAUACCGUUAAAUGUUAUCUAGAGUAUUUAAAAUUUCUAGAAAUCAAAUUUUAUAAUUUUUCGACAUCAUUUACCUUACAAUCAAAAGAUCACAAAAUUGACAAUUUUUAACGGCCGGUAUGGAAUACUUGCUAAUUUAAUGAUGUAAAAGAAUCGGAAUCGAAAUUGUAGUUCUUGAAUCUACCUCUUUUGACUAUUC